rnacentral:lncRNA from 1 species
CCACGGUAAUGAACUGCCAACAAUAGCCCAAUUUGGCAAUUCUGGGAAUGAAAUCUCUCAUCUGCUCAUCAGUCAUUCCUGAUGCAUCCCAGUUGAAAGAAGGUGAGAGAUUGUAAGCCAACAUGAUCUCAGGGCACCUGGACCUCACUCCUUCAGCAAAUUUUGUGCAUUCAACCAAGUCAGGGCCAGCAGUCUCCAUCCAAAUUAGAUCAGCGUAUGAAGCAAAAGCCCAGCCACGAACAAUAGCAGCCGUCACAGAUCCCUUAAAUCUGUAGAAACCCUCUCUGGUUCUAGGCAGGUCCCAAUCCCAGAAAAUAUUAAGUCCCAUUCUUUCAGCAAUCAGUCUUCCUUCCUCGUUUGACAAGCAUUUCUCGAAACUUGAAUGAUACAUCCACUCGUCCAACCUCCUCUGCUUCUCAGCUUCACUGAUAUUCAUCCUCUUGAUUCCAUCAACUACACAAUCAGAAAAUGUUUUCAAUCGUGCCAUUGAUAGCCAGUUAUCCUCAAUAGCUUGAAGCUCUGGUCCUGUUUUACCAGCAGCCAUUGCUUCACCUAGGAUAGUGGCUAAACUCUUCCCCUUGAGUUGUGGAUUAGUAACACCCAAAAUGAACUGAUGAUCUCUAGUAUCAACAUUGGUUUGGAUUAAUGUUGCGGCUUCCGCAUCGGUACGAGCAACUAAAACUGUCUCUGUACCCAUGAUAUCAAAUUGUAGCCUGGCAGCAACCAGCCUAUUAACGUGUUCACUCACUGCAACAAGAACUUUGCCAGCCAUGUGACCGCAUUUUUUGGUAACGGAGGACUGAUCCUCAAUAUGGACUCCAGCAGCUCCACGUUCCACAAAAAGCUUGCAAAGCUUGACAGUUGCAGUUGCACCACCAAAUCCAGUAUCGCCAUCAGCAAUGAUGGGCUUCAAGUAAUCAAUAUAUGGAGUUCUAGCCCUCUCUUCACGGCUCAUGCCCAUUCUGGCCUCCCUUUGUUUCCUGUCAUGGUAUUGUUGAGCGAAAAAAAGGUGCUCAACCUUGUUAGGAACGGUAUCAUAGGGAUAAUCAGCAAGGUCAGGUCCUGGUUCAUUUGAGGUAGUGUGGGUGGAUGAGCAUUGCCAGCCAGAGACAUAGAUGGACUCCAGAUGCUUGGCCAUCAUGGUGACUUGAACAGGAUCAAGAGCACCAAAGGUUCUUGAUGCUGUGCCAUUGGCCUGGUGAGUUUUG